rnacentral:rRNA from 1 species
GACGAACGCUGGCGGCGCGCUUAACACAUGCAAGUCGAGCGAGAACCAGACCUUCGGGUCUGGGGACAGCGGCGAACGGGUGAGUAACACGUGGGUAAUCAACCCUCGGUACUGGGAUAGCCCGGGGAAACCCGGAUUAAUACCGGAUGGCCCUUCGGAUCUUCGGUUCUGAAGGAAAAGGUAGCUUCGGCCUCCGACCGAGGACGAGCCCGCGGCGGAUUAGCUUGUUGGUGGGGUAACGGCCUACCAAGGCGGCGAUCCGUAGCUGGUCUGAGAGGACGAUCAGCCACACUGGGACUGAGAAACGGCCCAGACUCCGACGGGAGGCAGCAGUGGGGAAUCUUGCGCUAAUGCGGGAAACCGUGACGCAGCGACGCCGCGUGAGGGAAGAAGGCCUUCGGGUUGUAAACCUCUUUCAGGAGGGACGAAGCUACUCGGGUUAAUAGCCCAGAGGGUGACGGUACCUCCAGAAGAAGCCCCGGCUAACUACGUGCCAGCCGCCGCCGUAAGAC